GCUUCAUAGACGCCGCGUGUACCCGGUUGUCCUCAGGCGCUGUCAGCGCUUUGUAGCCCAGGCUGGAGUGCUGGUGGCACAGAUCGUGGCUCACUGCAGCCCAGAACUCAGGGCUCAAGAGAUCUUUCCACCUUAGUCUUAGUCUCCUAAGUACCAGAUACUACAGAUCUGUGGUUUUUCUACUUGAAGGACACAAUGUUUUCCAAACUAGCACAUUUGCAGAGGUUUGCUGUACUUAGUCGCGGAGUUCAUUCUUCAGUGGCUUCUGCUACAUCUGUUGCAACUAAAAAAACAGUCCAAGGCCCUCCAACCUCUGAUGACAUUUUUGAAAGGGAAUAUAAGUAUGGUGCACACAACUACCAUCCUUUACCUGUAGCCCUGGAGAGAGGAAAAGGUAUUUACUUAUGGGAUGUAGAAGGCAGAAAAUAUUUUGACUUCCUGAGUUCUUACAGUGCUGUCAACCAAGGGCAUUGUCACCCCAAGAUUGUGAAUGCUCUGAAGAGUCAAGUGGACAAAUUGACCUUAACAUCUAGAGCUU
rnacentral:lncRNA from 1 species